UUGGAGGGCAAGUCUGGUGCCAGCAGCCGCGGUAAUUCCAGCUCCAAUAGCGUAUAUUAAAGUUGUUGCAGUUAAAAAGCUCGUAGUUGAAUUUCGGGGUUAGUAGGUUGGUCAUGCCUCUGGUAUGUACUGGUCUCACUGAUUCCUCCUUCCUGAUGAGCCGUAAUGCCAUUAAUUUGGUGUUGCGGGGAAUUUGGACUGUUACUUUGAAAAAAUUAGAGUGUUUAAAGCAAGCUAACGCUUGAAUACAUUAGCAUGGAAUAAUGAAAUAGGACGUUCGAUCCUAUUUUGUUGGUUUCUAGGAUUGACGUAAUGAUUAAUAGGGAUAGUUGGGGGCAUUAGUAUUCAAUUGUCAGAGGUGAAAUUCUUGGAUUUAUUGAAGACUAACUACUGCGAAAGCAUUUGCCAAGGAUGUUUUCAUUAAUCAAGAACGAAAGUUAGGGGAUCGAAGACGAUCAGAUACCGUCGUAGUCUUAACCAUAAACUAUGCCGACUAGGGAUCGGAUGAUGUAAUUUUAA
rnacentral:rRNA from 1 species